rnacentral:rRNA from 1 species
UUCGCAAUGCCCGAAAGGGUGACGAAGCGACGCCGCGUGUGGGAAGAAGGCCUUCGGGUUGUAAACCACUGUCGGGAGUUAAGAAAUACAAGGAUAUUAAUAGUGUCUUUGUUUGACUAAGGCUCCGGAGGAAGCCACGGCUAACUCUGUGCCAGCAGCCGCGGUAAUACAGAGGCGGCAAGCGUUGUUCGGAAUUAUUGGGCGUAAAGAGCACGUAGGCGGCUAUGUAAGUCGGUUGUGAAAGCCUUCCGCUCAACGGAAGAACAGCAUCCGAUACUACAUGGCUUGAGUGCGGGAGGGGAGAGUGGAACUUCUGGUGGAGCGGUGAAAUGCGUAGAUAUCAGAAGGAACGCCGGCGGCGAAAGCGGCUCUCUGGCCCAUAACUGACGCUGAGUGUGCGAAAGCUAGGGGAGCAAACGGGAUUAGAUACCCCGGUAGUCCUAGCCGUAAACGAUGGGCACUAAGUAGAGGGGUUA